UUCAACUGAACAAAAUCAUAGCAUUUGAAACUGGUUCCAUCACACGCCGCUAGAGGGACAAGACUUCUUUUCAGAUCGGAACAUUGUAAGAGUGCGAAGUCCUCUACCAGGAUACCCUACCCUUUUCCUAGUAUUUCAGAUUCAGUUACUAAACGAAAUCAUCUCCUCAUGGUCAUACGCACUUCAAGCAGCAAAUGUGUUUUAAUUCUGUUUUAAUUUUGUUUACGUACUGAAGUUGAAGACAUAGGUCUAUUCUACAUCAAAUCAUUAAUUUAAACAACUGGUUCAAUACGGAGAGCUCACUAUCCCAACAAAAUGUUUUCACUCGAACCCGUAAUCAAAUUAUUUGAAGAAAUCUGUGAACUGGAAAUGGAAGUUCUAAUAAAACACGAAAUAAGUGGAGAUGAAGCUAAAACUCUUCAUAACCGACUGAUCUCUUUCAACGUGAAAUUCAUCAAAUACCAAGUGCAAAUUACAACCGAAUGCAAAAUAUAUCAAGACAAUGUGGAUUUGAGAGAACUCAACGUUGAACUCAACUUUUGCAACUCAAUGCAGCAAAAAAUAACGAACCUCGAAACAAAGUUGAAAAAAUUUUUCCAACCGAGCGUUGAUCUACCCACAGGCAGCAAAUUAAACUCGUUUAUUCAAAAACAAAAAUUUUUGAUCGAAAUGACCUCGAGUUUGGAAGCGAGCGAUGAUCUUAACAUGGCAGAAGCGGAAGUGCGAUACAAUAAUCUAAUCUCACUUCACCAAUUAUUCAUUUCGAAUCAAAUGGAGAUCAUGACACAUGUCAACGGAGCCGGUCUCGAAGAUCAGAUAAAAAUAUCUAAAGAAAUACAGCAAAAAGUGAUCUCACUUCAAACAAAACUCAAAGAAAAGUUCGCGUAAGGAACCAACAUUUCCAACCGAACUCAAAGCCAGUGAUCUUGAUCAAUCUACACGAAAUCAAAACGUUAAAUCUGCCAGUAACACCGCCACUGACUCGGAUACUUUGCUUCGCCAAAAACUAAAACUUUCAUCAGACCGGGGUAAUUCAUCGAACGGAAAUAAUAGUGAAUUCAAAACCACAGCAGUCAAUGAAUCAAUAACUACCGACGGCACAUCCUCGAAAGAAACCGAGGUCGAGGAUCAAUCAGAAUCAGAUGAAUCAUAAAACGGAUACGUUCAAAGUAAACUCAUUGCGAUCGUAAGGAUACCUACUCGACGUUUUAAUGGAAACAGUACAAAAACGUGAUAAUAAAAUGAGAGGGUUGGAAUUAUUUCCUGAUUACAUUCAUGUUCUUGAAAAGGAGUUUAACACUCAUCAAAAGGUGUUUACGUUUAGGUUGGAAAUUGCCGAUUGCGAGUGUUGGCUCAAAGAUUGAUCAAGCUCUCAAGUGCCUACUCAAAUUAAAAAUAAGUACCUUCUUACUAAAAAAUCACGAUGAUUUGAUGAUUGUCAAUUCGUGUGUUACAGAAUAAAUCUUAAUUGACUAAAA